rnacentral:rRNA from 1 species
UGCUGGAGGUAUCAGAAGUGCGAAUGCUGACAUAAGUAACGAUAAAGCGGGUGAAAAGCCCGCUCGCCGGAAGACCAAGGGUUCCUGUCCAACGUUAAUCGGGGCAGGGUGAGUCGACCCCUAAGGCGAGGCCGAAAGGCGUAGUCGAUGGGAAACGGGUUAAUAUUCCCGUACUUGGUGUUACUGCGAAGGGGGGACGGAGAAGGCUAUGUUGGCCGGGCGACGGUUGUCCCGGUUUAAGCGUGUAGGUGUGUGUUCCAGGUAAAUCCGGUUCACUUUAACACUGAGGCGUGAYGACGAGGCACUACGGUGCUGAAGCAACAAAUGCCCUGCUUCCAGGAAAAGCCUCUAAGCAUCAGGUAACAUCAAAUCGUACCCCAAACCGACACAGGUGGUCAGGUAGAGAAUACCAAGGCGCUUGAGAGAACUCGGGUGAAGGAACUAGGCAAAAUGGUGCCGUAACUUCGGGAGAAGGCACGCUGACAYGUAGGUGAAGUGAUUUACUCAUGGAGCUGAAGUCAGUCGAAGAUACCAGCUGGCUGCAACUGUUUAUUAAAAACACAGCACUGUGCAAACACGAAAGUGGACGUAUACGGUGUGACGCCUGCCCGGUGCCGGAAGGUUAAUUGAUGGGGUCAGCGCAAGCGAAGCUCCUGAUCGAAGCCCCGGUAAACGGCGGCCGUAACUAUAACGGUCCUAAGGUAGCGAAAUUCCUUGUCGGGUAAGUUCCGACCUGCACGAAUGGCGUAAUGAUGGCCAGGCUGUCUCCACCCGAGACUCAGUGAAAUUGAACUCGCUGUGAAGAUGCAGUGUACCCGCGGCAAGACGGAAAGACCCCGUGAACCUUUACUAUAGCUUGACACUGAACAUUGAGCCUUGAUGUGUAGGAUAGGUGGGAGGCUUUGAAGUGUGGACGCCAGUCUGCAUGGAGCCGACCUUGAAAUACCACCCUUUAAUGUUUGAUGUUCUAACGUGGACCCGURAUCCGGGUUGCGGACAGUGUCUGGUGGGUAGUUUGACUGGGGCGGUCUCCUCCUAAAGAGUAACGGAGGAGCACGAAGGUUGGCUAAUCCUGGUCGGACAUCAGGAGGUUAGUGCAAUGGCAUAAGCCAGCUUGACUGCGAGCGUGACGGCGCGAGCAGGUGCGAAAGCAGGUCAUAGUGAUCCGGUGGUUCUGAAUGGAAGGGCCAUCGCUCAACGGAUAAAAGGUACUCCGGGGAUAACAGGCUGAUACCGCCCAAGAGUUCAUAUCGACGGCGGUGUUUGGCACCUCGAUGUCGGCUCAUCACAUCCUGGGGCUGAAGUAGGUCCCAAGGGUAUGGCUGUUCGCCAUUUAAAGUGGUACGCGAGCUGGGUUUAGAACGUCGUGAGACAGUUCGGUCCCUAUCUGCCGUGGGCGCUGGAGAACUGAGGGGGGCUGCUCCUAGUACGAGAGGACCGGAGUGGACGCAUCACUGGUGUUCGGGUUGUCAUGCCAAUGGCACUGCCCGGUAGCUAAAUGCGGAAGAGAUAAGUGCUGAAAGCAUCUAAGCACGAAACUUGCCCCGAGAUGAGUUCUCCCUGAGACUU